rnacentral:tRNA from 1 species
GCGCCCAUAGCUCAAUUGGAUAGAGCGUUAGUCUACGGAACUAAAGGUUGCUGGUUCGAUUCCAGCUGGGCGCA